GGAGAGAUGGCAGAGCGGUCUAUUGCGGCGGUCUUGAAAACCGUUGAAGGUCAAACUUCCGGGGGUUCGAAUCCCUCUCUCUCCGCAA
rnacentral:tRNA from 1 species